rnacentral:ncRNA from 1 species
UGCAUACAAAGGCAAACUCAGGCGAAAGCUGGGGACGCAAAGCCAGGAAUCUAAAGCAGAUGCUACGAUCGACCGGCUGCUAUG